GGCGUGGCCUGCGGUUGAUUGACAGAAAGAACGUACUUGUGGCGGGCGUGGCCUGGCGUUGACUGACAGAAAUGGCAGCCUUGGAGCGGGCGUGGCCAGACGCGGAUUGACAGCAGGAGCGGGUCGGAGGCGGGAGGACAGGAGAGAGAUCGCUGGUCUACUGUUCCACUCCUACAGUCGAGGCGUCUCAAUCGAGCCUCUUCUCUGUGACUCUGUGGAAAUUCCACUGACGUCUUACUGGCAUCCCAGUGAGGUCACGUGACCCCAGAUUGACCCCGGAUGGCGGAGCGUUCGUUCAUGCACUGUGACAGAGAGACGAGACACACUCAUCCUUCAUCAGCUCUUCUGUCAGAACAUCUCAAAUAACAUCCAUUCAGUGGGAAAUAGAAAUGAAUAAA